rnacentral:rRNA from 1 species
GAUGAACGCUGGCGGCGUGCCUAAUACAUGCAGGUCGAGCGAAUGGAUUAAGAGCUUGCUCUUAUGAAGUUAGCGGCGGACGGGUGAGUAACACGUGGGUAACCUGCCCAUAAGACUGGGAUAACUCCGGGAAACCGGGGCUAAUACCGGAUAACAUUUUGAACCGCAUGGUUCGAAAUUGAAAGGCGGCUUCGGCUGUCACGUACGGAUGGACCCGCGUCGCAUUAGCUAGUUGGUGAGGUAACGGCUCACCAAGGCAACGAUGCGUAGCCGACCUGAGAGGGUGAUCGGCCACACUGGGACUGAGACACGGCCCAGACUCCUACGGGAGGCAGCAGUAGGGAAUCUUCCGCAAUGGACGAAAGUCUGACGGAGCAACGCCGCGUGAGUGAUGAAGGCUUUCGGGUCGUAAAACUCUGUUGUUAGGGAAGAACAAGUGCUAGUUGAAUAAGCUGGCACCUUGACGGUACCUAACCAGAAAGCCACGGCUAACUACGUGCCAGCCGCCGCGGUAA